rnacentral:rRNA from 1 species
CCUACGGGUGGCAGCAGUGGGGAAUAUUGGGCAAUGGGCGCAAGCCUGACCCAGCAACGCCGUGUGAAGGAAGAAGGCUUUCGGGUUGUAAACUUCUUUUGACAGGGAAGAGUAGAAGACGGUACCUGUCGAAUAAGCCACGGCUAACUACGUGCCAGCAGCCGCUGUUACCUGUAGGUGGCAAGCGUUGUCCGGAUUUACUGGGGGUAAAGGGCGUGUAGCCGGGUUGACAAGUCAGAUGUGAAAUCCUGCGGCCUAACCGCAGAACUGCUAUUGAAACCGUUGGUCUUGAGUACUGGAGAGGUAGGCGGAAUUCCUAGUGUAGCGGGGAAAUGCGUAGAUAUUAGGAGGGACACCAGUGGCGAAGGCGGUUUACUGGACCGCAACUGACGGUGAGGCGCGAAAGCGUGGGGAGCAAACAGGAUUAGAUACCCGAGUAGUC